GUUUACGGAGGGAGUAUUUAUUAGUGAUUACUGGAACUCUUUCUUAUUAUUACUAUUGAUUUUCGCAUUAUCUGAUUACUCCAUCAAUGAAUCACCCUUUAAUUGUAUCUUUACGUAAGGUUAAACUUUUUUUUGUACCCGCAAAAAAAAACUUCUUUUUUUGUUUCCCUCAAGCAUACCAGGUCAAGCAUGUAGAAAAGUUGAAUGUUUAAUACUUGUUAGAUAAGCUCAGGUUCAGCAGUUUCAGAACAUUUUCGUUAUACAAAUAGUGCUUCAGGUCAAGAAGAUGUAUUAGUUUUGAAUUCUCCUUGUGAACACCUCCUUACUUCAGAGCAUCUAAAUAGUGAUGUACCCACUGCAGUUAGGACUUAGGAUGUAUGAGAACUUUUAAAGACAUUUUUCUAUAGUUAGGUUAAGAGAUAUAUGACGGAGAUGCCAGUGGUUGUGCCUGCCUUAUCCAAAAGCCAUAUAUUUUUGCAAAAAUAUAUUAUUACUUGAUGAGGUAUUUCGAGUUUGACCUCAAAAGUAAAGUAAUGAUGAAUCAGGAACUUCAUCUAAUCCUCACCCUAAAUAGCAUACUCCUUAUGCUACUAUUCUUUACUAACGAUGAACCAGGACCUUCAAUUAAUUCUGACCCUAGAUAGCAUGCACCCUCUGUUACUAUUAUUCAUUUAACGGCUGGCCAAGUGAGCUGCAGGAGCAAGAAUUGCAGGAUCAAAACAAAAACCCGAUGAAGGAUAUAAUGUCAAUGUGAUUUGUUGCCAACGCCAAUUCUCUACUAGAGCUCUAUGUGCAGCAACAGAAAGUAUGACUUCAUCACGAAAACAUCUUGAUCCUUCUUUUUUCGUACUACUAUUCUAUAGUAACAAAACACACCAUCAAGUUCCCAGGAUAUCUUGGUCAUUUUUCUGUUCUGUAAAACAAAACAUGUUUAAAGGAUUAUCAACUGUGGCUGAAAACCUGUACAUCCUUUGCUCAUCUAGAAAAUGGAGUUUAGCCUUACAAAGAAGAAGCAGAAAAGAAACUCGGAAGUCUAGUUUAUGCGCCUCUGCCUGUAUGUUUACAACUUGCAAGUGGCCUGAAUUUAUCAGUUGUUGAUAGAUGAAAGGCCAACCAAUUUAUGCCUAACAUUUGUGUCUCUACAUUUAUGCACUACCAUUAUAGAGCUCAAGGCAUCAUCAGCUGCACCACCAAGCAGGUCAAGAAGUUUGCCUAUGGUGAGUGCCUGUUUGGUUAUGUGUUCGUGGCUUUGUGCGCGACACCUGUUUGUUGUUUCGCCUCGGUCGUUUUGUCCGGUGUCCUGCAGUGUUGAAGGUGUUCCGGGAAACAAUGGUUGGCGCGGCGUUCACCAGUUAACGGUACACCACACCGUCGCCGCCACCGAUGGCAUCACCAAUGUCCGUCCGUCGAGGUUCACGACAUUGUGAGAUUGAAGACAGAGUUGUGUGUUCUGCUUUGUACAUUGGAGCGGCCCAUGACUAAGUUGGUCAGAUUGUCCUGUGCAUAUACUUCUCAAGCAGAUACGACCCAAUCAAGGGCUCCUCUUUGUGUAUCUCUCCAAGUAUUGGUCUGAGUUUCCAAGUCCUAAGUUAGCAGCAAUGCAGACUAUGCAGCGCCAUUACGUGCAUGCUCAGUGCAUCCAAGUGGUUUUCUCCCGCGGGGAGCGAGCGUGCCAGCCGCUACAUGAGGCAUAGUUGCAAUCUUAGUUUCCAAUUUAUGACCAAACAGCAACCUAGCAUGGAUAUUCCGAGUGCAUGAUUUUAUGACUUGAUGGUUGAUUUAGUAGAGCAGGAGGUGUUCCAGUUAUUUGAAAGAUAUAGGUGGUUGUUUCUAUAUAUGAGGCUGCCCCGAGGAAAUCUGUGGUGGUCUGGCCAUGAAGCUGUUUAUUUCCUCGAUGACAUUCAACUUUGUCACCGGUAGUUCUUACUGCUACUCAUCAGUACUUCAAGUCGUCAACAGAAAAAAACUAUGAUGCACAUUGUGGGCAAUCAUGGAGAGCUAGAUGAUGUUUGAUAAUAGCUACUGGUCUGACAUGAGCAAUGCCGGUCUUCUGGGAUUGGAAAGGUGUUUCGUGAAGCAACAAUCAUGCUACAAUCAAAUUUAAUGGCUAUUACAGCGGCAGAAAGGAGGAGGACGGCCUCCUGAUCCAGCGGGCCUGGGGGCGCCCAGCCAGGGCGUCGACGCGCUCUGUCAGCCUCCCCACGACGCGCUCACCUGCUGCUCCAUCCUACGAGCACCGCCAUCCUCUGGGCGCCGACGGGCCAGUAGUGUUUGCCCAGCUAUGCGUCCAGGCUACGGAAGGCGUGGGGCUUGCUGGUCAAGUAGGUUGCGCCCUCUCCAUCAUGAUGUCCUCCCUCACUGUGAGUGUUAACUGAUUAAUCAUGCACAUCCAUUUAAACAAAGAUUCAGAAAAAUGUUUGAUUCACUAAUUAAUCAACCAGUAAAGGACCAAUUGUUUAAUCCUACUAGCUAGACACUCCAUCCAUCCAAUCCAGUGAGUUUAAAUUUAUUAAUUUUUUACAUCCUUAAAUUAUAAAGAGUAAAGAAAAGAUUUAGGUGUUGGAGGAGUAGUCAGCAAGUGUUGUCUGCAAACCGAAUCCAGUUUCUGUGGAGAACAUUGAUUUGCCACCUCAGCUCAGUCCUAUUGAACGGAUUGAUUACUCUAUGAAAUAGUAGUUAGCCCAUAAUAGUAAUUCCACUCCAAUAUUGGAGGAAGUGUUGAUUGAGCUGAGAAAUUUACUUGACGAUGAAAGGAACGGCUUGCUUCCAAAUUUGCAAAAUAACUUCUCCAAGCUCUCAGAAGAGAAGCAAUAAUGUGACUCCAAGGUGUCCCUCUGAGAGAAAAGCUACCAAGGUGUCCCUCUGAGAGAAAAGCUAGAGAUGCUUUGGCGGUGGCAAAAUAAAGGGAAGUAAUUGCUAUGGACGCCAGCCAGUCAGAUAGCAGAUGAAAAGAGAAGGAUGAAGAAGUCAAGCUAUUGGAGAGGUCAAUUGAGGAGCUCGAUAGUACUUUAUUUGCUCUCGAAUGUAGCUUUAUUCAGUUUGAGUGAAUUUUGUGGCCUAACUGUUGUAGCUAUUCAUUUUUUUCAUGCAUUCUGAAUGUUAUUACACACGCAUGUUGGUACAAAACUCAUGUUGUUAUGCCUGCGUUAUGACAAGAACUUUCCCAGAUUUUUGUGCAUAAACAUACACAUGUGGACUAAACUCUUUCCCUUAUUUUUUGUUACUUGCUCAGCCAAUACAUAUCUAAUAUAGUUAUUUUCAUAUACUUCUAAUCCCUGAAAACACAAUACAAAUCCUAAAAGAAGUUAGUUUUUGUAAUCAUCGGAGAUUUUGCAAAAAAGUACCUAUGCUUUUUGGUAUUUAACCCGCAAUCCUAUUUUAAGUGGAUCUGAUAAAUUCGUUUUUACAAAAAACACCCUGAAUUUGCCGGUGUCCGCCGCCUCCGACCGCACCCUGCGCCUCCACGCGCGAUCUCGCGCUCGAGCCUCCCCGCCGCCCCGCGCCGGCCGCCGCCCAUCGCAUCGUCCCUCCCCGAACCUCACCGCCGGCAGCCUUUGCCCCUCUCCUCCGCUUCCCUCCCAGAUCAAAUGGAUCCCCCACCAAUCCAUCUCUCUCUCCCGCGACCCCUCUCUCUCUCCCUGGACACAUCUCCGCCGCCACAGAUGCCGGCCGAUCCCGGCAUUCUCCGGCGACUUUCGACACCACGCAGCACCGGCCCGGGCUCGCCUCGCUCCGCUGGGUCUUUUCCGCCAGCGGGAUUCGCCGCUCCCGGCCACCAGCGAUGACGUUAAGCCCUCACCAUGUCUAGGGUUUCGGGCGCCUCCACACUGGCGUGGCUCCGGCGCCUCCGGCGGAUCCUCUCCGACGCCCAUCGCGCCCCCACAGGCAUCUCCGUGUCCAGGAUGCUGCUCCUGUGCCCGCUGGCCAUGGGAUGUGCAGAGCAAGGAUUGGAUGCUUGAGGAAGGAGGGGUCGACCUUGCCUUGCUGCAGCUUGGGAUGCACCACCCAUGGAGCUUCCUCCUUUCUAUCUUCAGCUGAGUUCGCCCCCUCCUCGGCUCUUGUUCGUGGCCAUCAGAAAAUGUGUUGUAUACUGACGUAUUUCAAACUGAAAACAAUGAGUGCCAAUACAAGAUGUAUAGUAACCCCUUGUGAACUCGAUUCGUAUUGGGUAGUGAAUCGUCGUGAACCAAGGAAUUGCAGGUACAACAAUGCUUGGCAUUCAGGACGCAACGAAGCAGGAAAAAUCAAAGGUGGAUCUUGCCCAGCUGAUAAACAAGAAGGACACCGACCUAAGGGUGAUUACAGUGGGCGGAAAAGGUGCUGAUCUUGGGCAUACAUCGAUCAUCCGGGCAGUUUACAAGGAUCCAGAGAUCAAAAACAAUUUUCCGUGCCGAGCAUGGGUGAGGUUGAUGCAUCCUUUCAGUCCAGAAGACUUCAUUCAAAGUUUAGUAGAGCAGCUUCACGCAUCCGAAGGAGUUGACAUUCUGCUGGAAACAAAAAAGAUGGGGAAAGAGUUAGCUGAGGAAUUCAAUGGAUAUUUCAAUGCUAAGAAGUUCCUGAUUGUGCUUAAUGACUUAUCAACCAUUGAAGAGUGGAAUCGGGUUAAGAGGUGCUUCCCAAACAAUAAGAAAGGGAGCCUGAUAAUAGUGUCUACAAGGCAAGUUGAAGUUGCAAGCUUAUGUGCAGGACAAGAAAGCAUAGUAUUUGAGCUCAAGCAGUCGUCUGUUGAUCAGAAUAUUAAUGCUUUCUAUGAGAAGGUAACAUUCAAAGUUCUACUGCUUGUCCUCUUCUGAAUUAUACAGCAAGACUCGGUUAUAGUGUGGCCUUCGAAUCAGAACUACAAUAUUGACUUUGUAGCUGCAUGGUGGGAAUCAGUUUUUGUUAUCACUGAUCCUUCCAAACUGAAGCUUAGAGAGAUCAAAAUGUUACAUGCUGAACGGCCAGGAGUGAACUACUCAAGUCGUCCGACAGUGUCCCACGCCGACCUCCGGUGGAUCUCCUCCCGGAUCAGACCUAACCCCCGCACUACUUGGGGCCCUCCCCCAUGCCAUUGCAGCCCUCAGCUACGACGCCCAUUGCCUUCUCGAGAUCAACAACCACCUGCAAGAAAACUGUUCGAUCAAUCGACCCAACAGACAGGAGCCUAGAGAAUGGGGAGAAAGAGGAGGAGAUGUGGUUGUCAGCACGGUGUUGAACCACCGACGCGGCGGAAAAAUGAGCAUGUGUUGUGCAAGAGGAGAUCCACACUGCCAGCAUGUGUCUCUUCAACCAGUAUGAUCACGUCCUCGUGUGCCUUCGCCCGGCUGAUCCGGUGACGGCAAUUGUCAUCUUCUUAAAAUUUAGAUGGACAUUUGGAUGUUCUUGAUUUUUUUUCUUCUAAAAUGAACAUAACUGUCAGCUUCUUUCUUGGGUAAUCAAACUCCGGUGGAAUAAUAGUAUAACUCGUGUUUUUGUUUUAGGUCUUGCGCAUCUGGUGUACCCAAGGCCGUCCACAUGCGUUUUGAACAUUCAUUAGGUGUUUAUCGUCUAGCUGAGGAGGCUAUGAACAAUCUGAAAAAACUAGGUUUGUACCAUGAAGCACAUGCUCUAGAAAUGCUAUACAUGUUCUCCCUUAUGUUCUUUUGGUAAUCCACUUCACAACUGACUAAAUUGCACCACUGCCUGACCUGUGCUAUGUAUGAAUUUGAGGAUUUACUUGAGAAAACUUCUACUGAAGUUAAUGAUUCCCUGUCAAAUCCGCGCAUAUGUAACUGCAGCAAGAACUGCUUGUGAUGUGCAAGCUAGGAUCAGCUUGAACGUCUUAUUGAAUGCCUUCAUGGAGACAACGGUGAUACGUUCCAAGAUUGUAUUACCUUGGCCCGACUUAAGUUUGAAGAUUAUUUCUCCAACCAUGUGGACCAGCUGAAUUUUACUCUCCCUGAAGAUUCAGUGACCAGCUCUGGUGCUCCCUUUGAUCUGGUCUGCAGCAAGUACACUGCCUGAUCUUAGUUGUUGCCAGCAUCGUGGUUUGGAAAAAAGUGGUGUACGAAUGGCUUCUGAGGAUAGUUUGCACCAAGUACUUAAGGUCAGCCUACUUAUGCUGUUGUAAGCACAACUGUUCAAUUUUAAAUCAUUAGGAAGUGAGCAUAGCUUCUUUUAGGUUCUAUAAUUAUUAGAUGGCUUAAGUAGUGCCCUGUUGCUCUGUCAGUUCUCUGAAAAACAUUCAAGAAGGGAGCAAUCUUUUACUUAAUUCGGAAGCUCUUCAUUGUCAUUGUUAAUAUUUCAUUGCUUUCUAUAUAUUACGCAGCUACACAUAUGGCUGCCUUAAUCUCUUUACUCAAGACAAGCAUAAUAUGAAUACCCUAUUAUGAUGCCCCUCAUGUCCUUUUGUUGUUUGCCUUGCCAAUUUUGCUACACUAUUGUUACAUUGCAUCCAGAUUGCUCACAAUGUGGCGGGAUCUCAGACCUUUCUACUGAACUGAACUGAACAGAGAUAGAUAAAUCCAUAAUUAUUUUUUCUAAAAGUAAGGGCAAGUUCCUAAGAGGAUACAAAAAUCGCAUGAUCGGCUGUUCUCGACGUGGCAGUAUUUGGGAUAAUUUCAGGUCAUUUGGACCACGGGUGGGUAUAGCUUGUAAUGUGACAUCGGUUCUUGAAUUAGUUGUUUCAUGCCAUUUGGAAUGUUUAGAAAACACACUGUGUCAGUUGGUAUACUUAAAUGUCUGGUUUCAUUCAUUAUCACACCGUUGAAUUUAUAGGUAUUAAAAAUUAAAUGUGGUUGCAUCCAAUAUUUAUUUCUAUUGGUUGUUAAUCUGGUCUACUCUCUGUUUCUUACAAGAAAAAGCUACUCUAUGUUUCUUUCUUACAAUGAUCCAAUAAGAUAUGUGAAUCUUAGAGGCACAAAGGAACAUAUAUAUCUAUAGCAAAAAGCACAAGCGAUUAAGAGGACAUAUAGUGAUUGGAUGAGCUUCACGUCCAUGCCCCUGCUGCAUAUCAUGUCUCCCAGGUGUAGGUAUUAGCUUCCUGCAGUUCUAUUUUUGUAUACAGUAAUACAGGUGUGUAUUGAACACCAUGGGUUAGAGCUAGAACUUUUUCAUGAGUUAGUGUACGGUCAUGUUUGGAUCGAUGAUCCGUCUGAGUUUUUUUGAUAGCAUCAGCCAUUUGAGUUUAUCACACCUGUUAGUUAGACCAUGACAUGGAUAAAUCUACGACCUUAUAAUGGAAGGUGUGUACGGCUAUACUGUAGCUACCCAGAUGAGUUUCCUCAAGUCUGAUGAUCCAAGUCUUUGUAUAGGUUUCAGUACGUAAAUGAUCUUGAAGAUUAUGACUUCAGUAGGAAGGUUAGAGGCAAAAGUAUACAAAGUUACAGUCAGUAGACCAAUAAUUACACUUUAUCGACAAAAUAUUAGUUUCAGUUUGAUUUUCCUUUAUGCAUCAUCAUGUACUGAACUUUUUUUGUGGUGAUUUUGCCGACAACGUAAAGGUAUAGAUGUGUGUUUCUUCCGUCAUGCUAAAUUAAACAGAGUUGGAACUAUUUGUUAUGAUAGAACGACGACUAUAGAUGUAAUGAAAAACAGAGUAACAGACGGUUUGUUCUCAAGAAUUGUAGAAUUCAUCUAAGACACUGAUAGAAACUUGAAGAGCAUAUAAUAGCUCAGGCCCUUGUUCUAUCUCCCUUCUAUGUUGACUUGUUCAUUCAUCUAAGCACAAAUUCAGUUUCAGUGACUAAAGGUAUCUGUAAGUUCCACUUACAUUUUCUUCACUUUCUGAUUCGAGCGUGUGUGGUACACAACUCAAACUAUCCAUAUGAUAAUUUAAUUCUAAUGACUCUGCAAGCAUAUGCGAUUUGAUCUGGUGGGUUAAUUCUAAUGACUCUGCGGGCAUCUGAGGUUUGUCCUGCUAGGUUGUUAUGAUGCAUUCUGGAUGACUUCACUACUAAGUCCGAGAUCUGGGAACGAAACAAAUUUCAGGGCAACUAACAUGAUCAACCAGCAUCAAUGAAACUGACAUACAAUUUAUCGCCACUUGGAUUUGCAUACUAGCGACAGACAUGAUUUGUAAGGAGGAAACUAGAUGAGGACAGUUCUGGUCUGAUGCUUCAAUAGGGAUGCCUAGGUAAUUAUGACUGGAUGUGUUUACAAGAUAUGCUUUUAAGUGCAUGAGGUUGCAACCUAUAAUGGUACACUGUAGACCUUCAUUUAUUGAAAUAGACGAGUGAAAUUUUUAUGAUUCAAAUAUUUAA